rnacentral:rRNA from 1 species
CCUACGGGCGGCAGCAGUGGGGAAUAUUGCACAAUGGGGGAAACCCUGAUGCAGCGACGCCGCGUGAGUGAAGAAGUAUUUCGGUAUGUAAAGCUCUAUCAGCAGGGAAGAAAAUGACGGUACCUGACUAAGAAGCCCCGGCUAACUACGUGCCAGCAGCCGCGGUAAUACGUAGGGGGCAAGCGUUAUCCGGAUUUACUGGGUGGAAAGGGAGCGUUGACGGCGGAACAAGUCAGAAGUGAAAACCCGGGGCUCAACCCUGGGAGUGCUUUUGAAACUGUUUGGCUGGAGUGCAGGAGAGGUAAGCGGAAUUCCUAGUGUAGAGGUGAAAUGCGUAGAUAUUAGGAGGAACACCAGUGGCGAAGGCGGCUUACUGGACUGUAACUGACGUUGAGGCUCGAAAGCGUGGGGAGCAAACAGGAUUAGAUACCCGAGUAGUC